CAACUCAGCUGCCUGGAAGCCACCACAGUGCCAGUAAGGACUGGGGAAUUCUCAAGCAGGAGAAAACACAGCAUCAAACCUUAGGGUCAAGAAGGAGGAGAAUUUGGUUCUUGUCCUUGCUCCCAGAGCUGUUUCAUCAUCACUGGCAGAGGAGGAUAUAAGGAAGACACUGGGGUAAGGGUCCUCACAGCUAUCCACAGCACUGAAGUACAGCACCUCAUACGUUCUGCAGAAUUCCAGAACAAAAGAACCUGCCUUGGUCAGCUGCAUGAGCCAUCGCAGGCAUCUUACAUACUGCCAGAUCCAGAUCCUUCCAACUCUAAGGAUUCUAUGAUUCUAUGAACUAUGCAUGGUGUAUUGGCAAAAGAUGGCCACAUAUGCCCCGUUCUGAGGGCCUGUUCUGAGAUGCUGAAUCCUCCCCAAGGACUCAACAAGCAGCCUAAAGCCCUCACCCAGGGUUCAGGGCUCUGUUCAGGAAGUCAGACAUCAGCAGUGUGUGCAAGAGAGCAGAAAUGCAAGCUACGUAGAUCUCCAUCCUGUGCAAGUGCACAGCUGAAAUAAUUACCAGAUGGUGAUGAAAGUGGCCCACAAGAGAAUCAUAUAACUCCAUCCUAAACAAGCAAAGAUAAAAUUAUUGUCUCAGAGGUAAAGGGGUAAUAGCAGCAGCCUUCAUUAAAGGAAAAGGAAGCUUUUAAUCUUAUGUACAGGGACUAGUUUCUCUUGCUAGAGAUAAUACCUGUAGGAAUAGAAGAAUCCUAAUGUUCCCAUGCUCCCUUAUGAAAUACUUUAAAAUGUGUUGCUGGAGACUGACUUUAAAUGCCUAUGAAGACAGCUCAUAAGGAGCAUGAAUCAUUCUGAUCUACCAG
ensembl:lncRNA